rnacentral:rRNA from 1 species
AACGUAGGAGGCAAGCGUUAUCCGGAGUUACUGGGCGUAAAGAGUGCGUAGGCGGGAAUGUAAGUGGGUGGUGAAAGCGCCCGGCUAAACCGGGCGAGGACCAAUCAGACUGCAUUUCUAGAGGCAGAUAGAGGGGUGCGGAAUUCCGGGUGUAGCGGUGAAAUGUGUAGAGAUCCGGAGGAACACCAGUGGUGCAGACGGCGCCCUGGGUCCGAACUGACGCUGAAGCACGAAAGCGUGGGGAGCGAACGGG